UCCGAAUUAGUGUAGGGGUUAACAUAACUCGCUUUCAUGUCUCAUCUGCCUCGAGCAUUUGAUCACUGAUCCGAGUAGCCCCGGGUUCGAUUCCCGGAUUCGGAA